rnacentral:lncRNA from 1 species
UAGCUUUAAUGUGUCACUAGGACAUUUUUGUGAUGUUGAAGGAGUUGGAGGACUAGACUUAGGUGUUGUCGAAGGUGGUGGAGUACUAGCCUUAGGUGGAGGGCUAGCCUUAGGUGUUGUAGAAGGUGGUGGAGGACUUGUUGGAGUUGGUUUGCAUGAACCACAAGCAUGUGAAAAUGUUGAAUAAGAAAGGAGAGAAAAUAAUAUAAUUAGUGCACUAAGCUUGUUGGAAGCCAUUCUUAAGAAAUGUGUACACUAAUUGUUUUUGUAUGUUUUGUAUGUUUUGAUGUUGAAUGAAAGAAUGAGAACUUGAACCAUUUUAUAGGCAAAGUUUUGAGGUUCAAUCCUUGGAGGUCUGAAGUGGAAGAGAGUUUGGUAUUGAUAACGUUUCAUUUGGACUUUUCUAAGCUAGCUUGUGUAAAAAUGGUUUCAUAUCUUAGUGGUUUUUUUUUUUUAAUAAAAUAUCUUGGUGGUUGUUUUUAUUUUUAAACAAUCUUAGUGGUGAUGUUUAUAUGUAUAUUUGAAUAUGCAAUUUCUCACUUGUUUUGUCCUCACCAUGAAAAUAAUUUUUGUCGGUGAAAUGGCUAAAUUAAGAAAAAGAAUGUCGCGUAAACAAACCAUCAUACGAAGUGUUGCACAUGAAAUGUUUAAAAUGGGAUUCACUGACGACCGUUAUUUUUAAUAGAAGGGUCAUUAUUUAAUCGUCUCAUCUCUCACUAUAAAUAGUCCUUUCACAUGUUUGCAAGUGGUAUACUAAAGAAACUCUCUUUUCAACACUCUAUCAGUGUAUGACUCACCACUUUAAGUGGAAUCCAUUUUUAAAGUGUGAGACCCACCUUUAUUUAAGUCAAUAAAAAAAAAGAGUGUUGAAAAAUGCAUGUUAACGGUACUACUCUUGAUGGUGUUAAUUUGUGUUUCGUGUUCAAGGUUAAUUUGUUUAUUUUACCAAACCAUAUUGCAAUCUAGAAUGUCACUAAAAUAUUAAUCCCAUCGAAAAUGCUAUUAAGUAUCCAUGGUCAAGUUAAGGAAACAAAUAUAUAAAAAUAGCUUGCAACUUAUGUAGUCUAAGUUAAAAGUCUUAAAAUGUUCUUUUCAAUAUGAUUUUUUUUUUGUUGCUUUUCUUCCUUAAUGCUGCAAAGUCAUUAGUUAAUUAACAUGCUAUAUUUGCAAAUAAAAAUCAAAAUAAUUGUUUCACAAUUUUGCAUCACUCCAAAUCAAUAUCUUCUACUUUGUUCUUAUGAUAAUGGUAAACACAUCAAUAUUAUUUUUUGGUAACAAUAAAGUUUGGGUGAGUUGGGUUCUGGGGGUUCAUCAGGUCAUAACAUGCCUCAAGACUCAAAGAGCGCUUACAGAGGUAUUUACAAAUCACUCAUCAUGGAGGUCAUCACCUCGACAACGAGAAUUUAACCCACGACCUUGCAGGCGGGUCAACUCCUUACCAACUGAGUCAACCUUUCAUUGACAAAUACACCAAUACUUAAUAAAUCUAAUGAUCUUGUCGGACUUGAUAUCUCUGGAUGGUGGUGUUGAAUGGCCGUUGAGUUAGGCCCUUAAUUCAUCAGCAACCUUCUUCUUGGACGAAUGAGGGUAGUAGCUAUUAAUACACUCCAACACUUAAGCUAGUGGGCGUUGUGGAUCUAUGAGGUAAUUUAAUGUAAAGUGUGUGUGUAUCUGGAUCAAUGCUCCUGAGCUAGUAUCUAUAUAGUGAGUUUAGGGUAUUGGCCCUUGAACUUUUAUUUGAACAGGUGUCCUCAAGGGAAAACUGUAAGCAAAUUGUGAGAAGAUAUCAUCAGAUCUAGACUAGAUAACCAAGAUUGCCUAGAGGGGUCAUUAAUUCAGUGUGAUCCAAGGAGGUACUCAUACGAUGAUCCUUCUAGACCUAUGAAAGAGGAUAUUCAAACCCAGUCAUCGUUUAGGCCUUGAUUCAGACUCAAACUGCUAACUUGGUAAAAUAAUUUAUUAUUCUACAUUUUUAUUUAUGAUUAUUGUCUAUAUUUGUGCGCAAUGAGAAAAGAGUGGAAAAAAAAAAGUUGAAAUAACCCCUUAUACGAAGGAUAUAGCUUGCAGUGUGAUAAAAAUGAAAGGUGAAAUAUUUACAUUAGUUUAUUUGCAAGAUUACAAAAGUUAUGACUAUGCCAUUUUUUUUAUCUUUUUAAUUAAAUUUUUUUUGAACUUUUGAUCCUCAAUUUUAAAAACAGGUUUUUAUUCUUCAAUUUCACUAUUUUCUCAGUUUUCAAUUCCCUUCUUGUUUUGGGGUCAUUUUUAUUGAUGUGACAUAUUCAUUAAUGAUGUGGCAACCUUUAUUUGCGUUUUUUCUUGCCGACAAUGAAAUAUCUAGUGUGGCCACAUAAGUGUUGCCAUGUCAUUAAUAAAUAUGUUUGUUCAACUAAAAUGACCCCAAAAAUACGAUAUGAGCGGGAAAUUCAAGAAAUAAAAGUAUAAUUGGGAUAUCAAUAUUUUUUUUUUAAAAAUGUGGGCCUAAAAAUUCAAUUUGUUUACAAAAUAUAGAGGACUAAAAGUAUAUUUAAGUAUUUUAUAUUUGAAAGGUAUGCACAAUGUAAAUUUGAGCUAACUACACAUAAAUCACUUCUAGAUAGAGAUGGCAAUAGGAUGAACCGAGUUAGACUUUACAAGAUUCAUGUCUAACCUAGUCAAAAUAUUCAAAGCCUAGGCCUAACUUGUUAUUUGUCAUGAAUUAGUUUAGGGCCAACUUGUAAUGAGAGGCAAUUACCAAUUUAAAACAAAGUUCAUUUUUAUCACUUGUGAUCAAAUAUAUAUUUGUUUCUAAUUUUCUUGAAAAUAAACGUAUCUGAAGUUUUCACUAAAAUCAUGUUUGCAUUUUUUUUAUUGAUUAACGAUAAUGGAAAGCAAUUACCAAUUUUUUUGACCUUCCUACAUUUUGAAAUCUAACACAAGUGGUACUAACCCCACAUCCAAAAAAAUAGGAAUUCUUAUCUUCCAUUUUCCUAGUCAAACAAUCUAUUGGAUUGACAAACCACUCAUAAAAAGACAAGGCACGCCUUAAUGCUUCCCCAAAAACUAUUGCCACCAAAUAUUACUAUGUGAAUUUUUUUACAACACAUAGACUUCUAUCACUCUCACCUUAAUGCUCCAAUACAACCACAUUCUUACAAAACAAAUAUUUAAACUAAGUCACAUAUAAGCUCAAAGCACUACUGACGUGCAUCUAAAAACAAAGAACCUAAGUCUAAUAUAUAGUCUAGGUCUUCCCCUUACUUCACCACACUAAGUGAUGUAGGACUCCUCCAAUAGCUAAUACUUUUUAACCUCCUUCUUUAUAUAAGAAACUUGACAAUCAAACCCAACACUUCCAACUCCACUACCGAUGAGCAUACCUCGUUCAGCUAAGUUUGCUCUUGUUGGGAGCCUUCGACACGACAUACCAGAAAAAGACUAUAACCUUUGAUCAUGCGUAUAUUCUCCCAAAAUCAUGUUUAAUUAGUAAGAGACAAAAUCAAUUUCAAUAUUUUCCAUCAUAAAGUCAAAUACAGAUAUUAACUAGUUAAAAGUUAAGGUUUCUCGAAGAAGAUGAAGAAAAUAGUAGAGAAACAAACAGAAUUAGCAAAGGAUGAGGAAAUACAUACAUAUUGACAAGUUGUUUUUAUUGACAAUUUAUGAUUGGAAUAUUUUGCAAGUUGUUUCCAAUUUCAGACCAUUGCUAGGUUUUUAACAUGAAUUGUUGAAAUCAAAGUAAGCAAUUUUGUGAGUGAGCCAUGCAAAAAGCACACAUGCGUACAAAUUUUGUGUCGGCAAGGUUCCGAUUGCAGCGACUAUAUGGCAAGGUCAGCAUCCUUUGGAGGGUGACAGAUGAAGAUCUAAGAGUCAAUAUAAUGUAAAUAUUAUUUUAUUAUUAUUAAAACUAAUUUGACCACAAUUAACUUGCAUAAGGUCGGCAGAUAAAUCAGUUUGUGGGUUGAGGAACACCCAAAGAGGUUUAGGGCUCGAACUUUGUAAACUAACAUAAAUCAUUAACUUACUAAUGUAUUAAAUUAUUAAUGUUUGUCUAUGCACACAAUACUCCCUCGGUUCCAAUUAUAAGUCAAUUUAUAAAAAUUAUUUUGUAUCAAAUUAUAAAUUAUUUUACAAUAUCAAUCAAACACCGAUGCUUCUUUUUCUUUCAUAUUGUUUCUUAGUUAUUAUCCUCUCUUCUUCAAAUUCUUUCAAUUUAUCAUUCGAAGAAUAAUUUUGUAAACUAAUUCAUAAUAUCUCUUUUUCUUUUUCGUACAUCAUUAACUACAUUUCUUAAUUUUAAUGAAAUAGCCAAACAUAACUUAAAAUUUAGGAUGGAGAUGGUAAUUAUUUAUAUUGAAUAGAUUUCUUUAACUUGUAAUAACAAGUAAGAGCAUUUAGGAAAGUCUCUUUUAUAUAUAUUUUUUUUAACUAAAUACAUCAACUCUUAAAUUACCAUUUUUGCUUAUAGUUCAAUCCGAAGGGAGCAACAAAUAUCUAUAUAUUCAGAGCGCGUCGAAACAUUAUCAAAAGAGUGAUGUUAUAUCAAGUGAAUUAAAUUUUCACGAGAAUCCACGAAGGUCGGUUGCAGUUAAAAAAGAUUCAAAGACAACAAAAUCUUGUUCACAUUUUAUUUUCGGUUUUUGUUGCCACCAGAUAGGUAGUGCAUGUGUGCAAUUAAACAACACGCUUCGGAAUAAAUUUGUGAAAUUGUUUUCGCCGUACAUAGCAAUUUCCUUAUCCAAAAUCUUUAGGGUAAAUAACCUUUUUUUUUUUUGGAGGUCGGAGUUUGAACCCCGGACCUUGCAUAUUUUAUGCAUUGUUCUAACCAACUGAGAAAAUGUUUGAGUAUAUUUUUAAAUAUUAAAUAUAUUAACAACUGUCUUUUCUAUUCGUUAUUUUGAUCAUUAAAAUAUUUUUAGGUAGUCAUCAAAUAUAUUUUUCUUUAGUCAAUAUAGUUCAUAAAAUUACGGAAAAAAAGAGGAACUACAUGUUUUACAAUUUCAAUAUAUCUAAGGACUAUAUAUUGACAACACCUUACACAUUCACAAACCACAAUUUAUUCUUUCUUUUAACAAAAACAAACGAUAUUCAUUCAUUCAUUCGAAUUGAUAGAGUAAAUCGAUGUGAUACAAAUUCAAAGUCGUUAAAAAUAAAAAUUAUGAAUAUAUGAUCAAAGUCACAACAUCCAUGUUAAUAGCAUAAAACGGCAGAUUAUAUAUGCCUAUAUUCAAAUUUCCGGAAUACUUAUGUCUCAAAAUCUGCAACGUUGAUGACAUCAAAAUCAUUGAUUGGAUCAGCACAUUUUUCAACUUGAAUCAAAUAAAAACAAUAAAAAACAAUCAACUUGAAUCAAAUAAACACCUCACUAACACGGAGAACAAAAAAUAAGGAGAAUGAAAAAUAGAGGAAACGUGUAUAAGUAACUUUAUUAUAUCAAAUAACCCCGUUCUUUCAUGAAACUCUCUUCAAAGUUUAAGGUGGAUAUUUAAUUAGCUUUUCACAAAAUUACCCCUAAUAAAAUAACGGAAUUAAAAGAUAAAUUCUCUAUCUCUCUUAAUAAUUGAAGGAUAAUAUUGAGAAGAGAAUAUAUAUUACUAACAAUUUUAUUGCGAAAACUACUUUUCUUAUCCUUUUGCUUUUAUAAAAUAAAAAUAAAAAGUAGUGAUGGAGUGUGUGUGUGUGUGUAGACAGCUGAUAUAUGUGUGUGUGUGUGGGGGUGAUUGAUUCAUUUAAGGUAUAAGAAAUGAUAAUAGUGUAAUCCAAGUUUUUUUUUUCCUGCAUGAUAAUUGUAAUUUUGUCUACAUUCAUGUUAGUCUAUAUGUCGGGGUUGUAAACAGAAUGUCCUAAUUUCUGAAUGAUCCUAGCUCUCUAUAAACUCUUCAAAGAUCUUAGCUCCUUAUUUACACGCACUCUCAGAACCAAAUAUUUUCCUAGGCGGGGUUUCUUGGAAGCUGAUAUAUAGGACAUAAUCCAACUCCAAGCUAUACUUGGAGGCCAUCACCAAGUAUAUUUAUGGGGACCAAAUUCGUGAAACCAUCACCAAGGUUUAAGAUUAUAAUUAACUACUGGCCUCGUGUUUUUUCUUAAUAGAAAACAAAUAUUAUAGAAAAAUCAAAGGUCCAGAUGGGCUAGGUCAUGUAGUAAAGGAUGUAUCAAGAAAUAUGAAAUAUCUUCAAUCCAAACAUCUUCCCCAUUUAAAAUAGCAUGCUUACCUAAAAAAUGCGCUAAUUUGUUGCUGUUUCUACUUUCUACGGCAAUGCCUAUACUGAUCUACUUUUAAUAUUUACGUUUGCACAAAACCUGUUCAGCUGCAAAGUGAAUCCCUAGCGUGAAGCCAAUGCUUCCGCGUCAAAAGGUUCUUCAUUACUUUCAUGAUUCCAAUUGUGCUGAACAUUAAAGUCACUGAGGAUGCAAGCUAUGCCCGAAAGCCAUUUGUGUUUGUCGCUAUGUUGCUGUUCAAUUUGUAAACGUUAACAUGGGAGGGUUCCAGAAGGUGUUGCGAGAUUGGAGAGGAGAAUAUGUUUCAAUUGGAUUUUGGUGAAACGCGUGAGCCUUAAUUUCUAAGUCUCUUGCUGGAAACUGCGUAUUUUGCAGGAACAGUGAAGAGUGUAAACCGCUUGUUUUUUAAUGUUCUACAUCAUAUGAAUAUGAUGUAUGUGUAGAGAUUUUUAUUUAAAUGGUUAAAUUUGGAUGGAUGCCUGUAUUGUCAAGGCAAAAGGAGUAGAAAAUUUUGACAUAUUACAUGGCUCUAUGUGGUUUGGUCGAUUUGACUUCAUAGAAAUGGAAUUAAAAAUAUUGAACAUACCAAACUAACAUCUUGAGAUGGCAUUGACUUGAAAUCUGAGAGUGUGCUCUUCUUCAACGUCUUAGGUUUGAUUAUAUCUGGUGUUAAUUUGGGUUGGGUAAUUUAGCUAAAUAGCUAUUGUUUUUUUGAUUGGUUAUGUAAUCAAUGUUGUCUUUCAAUGUCUUUGUAAAGACUUGAUAUGUACAUGGGUUAACUUUAGAGUACCCCUUGUACUUUUUGAAAUUAAUUUUUGCUUAUCUAAACAAAAUUGUUUUGUUUUGAAAACGUCCAUAAAAUCAAUACAUUUAAUUUUAUAUUUUUUCUCCCUCAAAUUAUUUUUAUAUUUUUUCAUUGGCGGGCAAAAUUCCACUACUGCAUGCAUUGCACAAAAUAUAAGUAUGAUGACGAUGACAAGUACAAUCAUCAAACGAAAGUUUGCCAAAUUUAUUUAUUAAAAUUAAAAGAACAAAGUUACUCGAUGAGGCAAACAGGCUUACCCUAUUUAUUGACAUGACACAUAUCCCACACCAAAAUAGAUAUAGUGCAUAUUUGAAUCGAUGAUGAAUUUAGCAAAAACACAGUGACACACCACCGUGAUUUUGACAAAAGUCACACACCCAAACUCAAACAAAAUUAUAGUAUUAUACUAUAAUUUCAUGCAAGUCGGUGUAAUUUCAAUCGUGCACAGAAACAAUAAGUAAAAUAAAAACAACAAUGAAAGUAGUAGUAACAUAAGUAUUGGUAUGGCUUGAACCUUUCACAUGAAACUCUAUGAACAUUGGAAACCAUUAGGAACAGAUUUUUGACAAGCACUAAGUAGGAGACUAAGUGUGACAGGCACAUUCAAGUUGAUACCAAGAACGUUAGCCUUAAUAGCGGUACAAAGACAAACUGCUGCGUCCAAAUCAGCCAAACCUUGAAUCAAUGUACAACAAUUGCUUGAAGCAGGAAUUCCAACAAUAACAUUAACAAGUCCUAGAACAUCAGCACAUACACCUAGCUUUAAUGUGUCACUAGGGCAUUUUUGUGCUGUUGAAGGAGUAGGAGGACUAGACUUAGGUGUUGUUGAUGGUGGAGUUAUAGCCGUAGGUGGAGGGCUAGCCUUAGGUGUUGUAGAAGGUGGUGGAGGACAAGCCUUUGGUGUUUUUGAAGGUGGAGGUGGACUUGGUGGAGUUGGUUUGCAUGAACCACAAGCAUUUGAAAAUGUUGAAUAAGCAAGG